UACUCGAGUGGCGAAAGGGCGAGGAAUACAUGGAUAACGUGCCUUUGGCAUGGGGACAGCUGAGGGAAACUUCAGGUAAUACCCAAUGAGACCACAGUGCUUUCGGGCACAGGGGUCAAAGAUGGGGCUCCUUCGGGACCUAUCGGCCAUAGAGCGGUCCAUGUCCUAUCAGCUUGUUGGUGAGGUAAUGGCUCACCAAGGCGACGACGGGUACCGGGACUGAGAGGUUGACCCGGCGCAUCGGGACUGAGACACUGCCCGGACUCCUACGGGAGGCUGCAGUAACGAAUAUUGGUCAAUGGGCGAAAGCCUGAACCAGCGACGCCGCGUGUGGGAGGAAGCCCUUCGGGGUGUAAACCACUGUCAGGGAUUACCAAGCAAUGGAGGCUAAUACCCUCCUGCGUUGAGGCGUCCCAGAGGAAGUCACGGCUAACUUCGUGCCAGCAGCCGCGGUAAUACGAAGGUGGCGAGCGUUGUUCGGAAUCACUGGGCUUAAAGAGCACGUAGGCGGACUGCCAAGCGUCUUGUGAAAUCCCCCGGCUCAACCGGGGAAUUGCUGGGCGAACUGGUAGUCUUGAGGCAAGUAGGGGCAGAUGGAACUCUUGGUGGAGCGGUGGAAUGCGUAGAUUUCAAGAGGAACGCCAGAGGCGAAGGCGAUCUGCUGGGCUUGACCUGACGCUGAGGUGCGAAAGCCAGGGGAGCAAACGGGAUUAGAUACCCCGGUAGUCCUGGCCAUAAACGAUGUCCACUAGAUCGGUGAACUUCUGA
rnacentral:rRNA from 1 species